GUCCCCUUCGUCUAGAGGUUAGGACAUAGCUUUUUCAAAGCUAAGACGUGAGUUCAAUUCUCACAGGGGAUA
rnacentral:tRNA from 1 species